CAAAAAUACCAUCUAAAAGUACCAUCACAUGAGGGAUGAAGACUUCCCAGUUAAUAAACUGAAUAUUUGUGCCCUCUCCCAAAUUCAUAUGCUGCUCUGACGGCCUGGAGUGGCGUCCCCUUUACCCAAAAAGAGCUGGACAACAGAAGGGGUCCUUGGCUUACAAAUGAAUUCCCUUCCAGAAGAACUUUUAAGUCCCCUCCACAUCACUGGUGCUUUUCCUCUUUCUUCCACAUAUCCUGGGCUCUGAUUGAACGCUAUUCUACUGUACAUGACUCGGUUGCCCUGUACAGUAAGCGCACAGCAACGCAACAGUGACAAUGUCCAGAACACAUGUGAGCUACUUCUGUAAUUCAUGCAUAUCUAUGAAUGGAGGUCUG
rnacentral:lncRNA from 1 species